AAAAAAAAAAAGGUGAGAAGACGUGGCGUAAUCAGAGAGAAUAGGUAGGGCGGUUCGUCUCUUUUUUUAUUAUUAGAUGAUUGAUGAUGAAAACAGAAGCGUGCUGAGUGCUAAACUUAAGCCUGUUCCUCUGCAUCCUCCUAUAAUAAUUAUAUAUUAUAGCAACAUUUUAUAGAUGAGGAAAUAAGGCCAAAGUUUAGUGUGCGAGUUUUUGGACCCUUUUUUUGGACGGAUCCAUUCCCCGUUUUCCCAAGGCCCACAGUUUUUUGCAUUAGUUGUCAACUCGCGUCUAGAUCGCGGGGCGGCACCGGGUUUACACGCUUUUUCAGUUCGUUGGUUCGUUAUUGCUUGCAGCUUUAUAAAGUGCACAAGUGGAUGUGAGGUUGACCUUUCUUUUACCCUCUCGAAGGAUUAGAAUAUCUGGAUAUAUGGUCGAUAUAUCCUUCCAUGAUACCAUAUAAAAUUCGGGAAGAUAUAUCCGUUAACUAAUAUUUUUAGAUAUUUUAUCAAUUUUUUUAUGUUUCAAUCAAUUUUUUUUUAUAUUUUAUCGAUAUUUCACUGACUUUUUUAUUUUUUUAUUAUUAAAUAAAUAAAUUAUAAUUAUUUUAUUUUUAUAUUUGAUUUAAUUUAUUACUAAAAAUAUAAAAACAUAAUUUUUUUAAUAGGUCUUUUUUAUAUAAUCUUUAUAUUUAUUAAAUAUAAUAAAAAAAUAUUUAAAAAAUUAUACAUAUAUUAUUAUUUAUUUGAUAUCAUUGAAUAUAUUUAAAUUAAAAUGGACCAUAAUUUUAAUAUUAAACAUAUUUUAAAAUUAGACAUAUUAUCAUAAUAAUAUUGUAAAAUUUAUAUUUUUUAUCCACAUAGAGAAUAUUAUUAUCAAAUGUGACAAACUAUAUAUAUAUAUAUAUAUAUAUAUAUAUAUAUAUAUAUAUAUAAAAUAACUUUAAAAUAUAUAUUUUUACUUCUUAUAUAUUUUUUAAAUAUUUUUAGAAUUUUAGUUAAUUUUUAGAUAUUUUAUAUCAAAAUAUUCAUCGAUAUGUUUUUGAUAUAUCCGAUAUAUCCAUAAGAUGUAUCGGAUAUAUCCAUAAAAUCAAACCGAUAUAUAUGUGAUUACCGAUAUUUUUAUCCUUAUUCUGUAUGACUCAAGUGUCCCUUACAUAUGGAAAUUGACAAAUUAAAACCAAUAACACAUGCAACUUAUGGGCAAUUGAAACUAGAAAAAGAUAACGUAUGCAUCUUCCGUCAUGUCAUGGCUUAUCAAAUCAAAUGAAUUAUUCAUAAGAUUAAUCUUUGAUUUUGUGAGGAUGAAUAAGAUUAUGCCAAAGGGGCCCGAGGGGCAAAUCUGGAAAAAAAAAGAGGCAAACAAUGGAAUAGAAGCUUGGGUCAUUAAACUUUACGAGGGUUGUGAACUGUAGUCAGCUGUGAGAGCCCACUCGCAACGGAAUUGGUAACCUGAACGGGCUGAAAGGGCCCAACUAGGGACCCUGGGGCUGGGACUAAAUUCCUGUUCAAUCCCUUUCAAUCAGUUAAAAGUUAAAACUUAAAGCACACAUCUCUAGCUCAGUGUCGUCCCCCAGCACGUUUUGCAUACGCGGCAUAACUUCAAAAUCUCUGUUACUGGAUUUUUCAAAAUCAAUUUCCACCAUUAAAAUUAAGUCUUAACCAUGCUGCCCACCUCAGAAUGAAGGUUUGGUACCAUGAAGAAAAGCAUAUAAAUUCAGCCUUUAGAAAUGUCAGAUAGAUAGAUAUAAGAGUUACAUAUGACUUGCCUUUGAAAACAAUUUGCAAAAAACAAUUUCUAAAAAUAAUUUUUGUUUGAGAAUGCAACAUGUUCUUAACAUGUUUUCUAUGUUUGAAAAGUAAUUGACUUUUAUAUGUAAUAUUUUAUUUUUGAUUAUAUUUCAUACUUAUAUAAUUAUUUUUUAAAAGGAACUUUUAGAAAACAAUUAAAACAUUUUCUUUGAAAAUACAUGUUUUCUGGUUGUCUUCAGUGUCUUCCUGUUUUCAAAAACAAUUACCAAACAGGCUACAUAUAUUUUGGAGGUCGUUCAGAUUAUACUUCUGGAAUCAUGCACCAACUCUGGCUAAACUCCACUUACCUACCUCAUCCACAUGUUUUGUUGCCCUGAAUGAAAUGUUAAAAGAAUUUCUAGCUCUUUUUUUUUUUAACUCACUAAGAGGAAAAGUUAAAGCCAUCAAAAUAACAAGUUUGAACACAGAAUAAAGAGCUCAAGUUCUAAUUAAAAGGUAACUUAAAUAUUUGACACACAAGAAAUCCCAUUAAUCAAACAGCAUUGCUGCAGCAGAGUUUAAUAAAGGAAGAUGACAAAGCAAGAGGAGAAGCCAUGGAGACGUUAUAGAAGGACAUGCGUUUUUGGGGCAUUCUCCAUACGUUUUUAACUUCCAACAGGAUCAACACAUCAUUACAAUACUAUAUAUUGCAUAUCCCACAUGCAAUAUGGUUCAAGAUAUCUAUAUGAUCUUAAAAACUAGAAGUAGGUACCUUCAGGAGGCUGGACCAACUUCCGGUUUUGUGGCGCAGCCAUCUCCUUCUUCAGCUGUGUCAGUAUAUCCUCCAUGGUGUACUCCCGCUGCCAAUUUGCCAGAAUUCCAAACUUCUUAGGUUCCACCUGUAACAAAUGGAUCCCAUCAGACCUUGUCACCCAAUUCAAUUAUCCAUCCAUAAAUCAGAUCUUGUUCCUGAAUUUAACUAUUUAUUCACAAAUCGUCCAAACAGGCAAAUCUUAUAAUAAUAUAUUUAUUGAAAUGUUAAGUCCAAUAAUUAUAAUCUGCAGAAAAAACCAAAUGGAAGAACAGCAAGCGAAAGGCCUAAGGGCACUAUAUUUAACACUGAAUGCAUAGGGAAUGCUAAAAGAGCAAAAAAUAGAAACGCACCAGGCCUAAUAGUGAUAGCAAUAAUAUUACUAGUACCAAGAAUACUCCAAAAAAGAGAGAGAGAGAGAGCAUGAGGCGAUGGUGGUGGAGGUAGUGACAGUCAGCGUAGCACAUACAUAGAAAGUGGUAAAAGGCAAAGAAAUACAAGGACACCAUAAACCAAAAACCAGACGCCAAACACCAGCGCAUCAGUAACAAAGCAGUUGUAGUGGUGUUAGUUGUGGUUAAAAGGAAUGAAUAAAAGAACACCAACCCCAAGCAUCAAACAUACCAACUCAUCAGCAGUGGUGGUAGUGAUGGUUGGCAAAGCAAAAUACAUAGGAAUUGGUAAAAGAGAGAAACUACAAGGACACCAUAAACCAAAUCCCAAACACCAACACACCAAUACCAAUGGUGGUAGCAGUAGCAUUAGCUGUGGUGGUAAAAGGCAAAAAAUACAAGAGCACCAACCUAACCCUGAGCACCGAACAUACCAACUCAUCAAUAAUAAUAGUAGAAUAGUCACUAAAAUGAUGAUCAAACAAUUCCAGGAUAGUCCUAUAACCAACGAUUACAGAACUUUAGUCCCAUUCCCACAGGACAUAAGACAAAUAGAACAUGUACAGUGAAUCAAACCAGACUAUACCCCCACCAUUUUUAACAAUUGGAAGUUGCAAUUGCAUAGCUCAAUACUGAGAAUCUGGAGAUCAUCAACUACAAUGAGCAUAAACACCACCAGUGCAACAACUGCAUAACAAGACCAAUUAUAAUGUAAAGGGAUCAAAAUUUUACCACUCCAGUUUCAUGGUUAACACAAGUCAUGUUGAUCCGUGAAUGAAAACGGACACUUGGUGGCUUCUCUGGAUAAUCUUUGUCACAGAACAGCUUCAACUGAUAUAUGCGACCUUCAUGUACAGUCUGAAAAAAAAUAAAGGAGAAGAUUGUAAUGUGCUUGUAAGCUAUCCAUAUCAGCAAGAAGUCAAAAUCCAAAACCUCAACAAUAGUACAUUUCAUUCUACAACAGAGUUUUUAACUCACUAAAUCUCAAGUAAAACUCAUUGACACACUGUUGUUUUGGGAAAUAAUUACUUCACACUUUGGAUGCUUCUCCUUUGUAUUUGAGAGGAUUGAACCAAAUACGCACACCCCAACCAAAAUUGAAUUAAAUUUAAAUAAUGAGGAAAUGCCUGGAACCAAGCUUAGGAAGAAACCCCACAUCAUGCAAAGUAUUCUAGUAUAUACUCACCACAAUUGGCCAUAGGUCGACCAGUCAAAGCAUUUUCUGAAUAACAUGCUGAACUUAAAUGGACGACAUGCCACCAGGCUAGAAGUACCAUCUACCUGAUUGGUUGAUGCCUCCUCAAAUGGUCUCAACUUCAAGACCACCUGAGGCAUAUCCUGUAAAUUGAAAACCUAUUUCACAAUUUAAGUAGGCUAAAUUUCUCUUCUUCUUUUUGGGUCAAGACCAAGCCAUAACAACAUGUAGUAUAUCAACAUAUAUAAGAGUGAUGCUGAUAUUUGUCACGUAACAAGAUCAAAGAAUAUAUAAAGCAUGUUGUUCUUUAAAAGGGCACUUACAUUAUGAGGACCGAUGAUGGUGCCAGUCCAAGAGCGCAUAUAAAUGUCAUCUCCAUCAUCCAUUCCAUAGCUGACAGUACCAUCUCCAAUACCCUUUUCUCCACGUUCAAGUUCCUCAAGCAAUCUGAAGUUUCGAGGGACUGCAUGGAAAUGCAGAGACUUAAAAGUGCGCAAAUCUUGAAAAUUAAUAAAAUUGUCUGAAUAAGGCGCCUUAAAUAUCAAAGGCUAAGCUUCAGACCAGAAAGUUCAAUUGGCAGUCACCCUCAUUUAGGAACAGGAGAUCCCAAGUUUGAGUUCUAGGGUCACACGAUACAAGGUUCUUGGCAGUGGGGUUGUGUAUAGUGGUUUCACUGGUCCAGUGAAGCUAGGCCUGUGGAUUUCCAAUUUAAGGUUCUGGGAGGAGGGUUCAUGUAUCACAGGUCACAUGAAGAUGCACCUGUGGGCUUCCAAGGAGGGGUCAUGUCUCAAUGGUUCCCCCAGUCUUUCUUUCCCAGGUCACAUGAAGCUGGGCCUGUGGGUUUCCACAUCAUAGAAAAAGUUCCAAGGUAGCUGUUCUUACCUUCUUUCUUUUGAUUUCUAUUUUAUUUUAUUUUAUUUUAUUUUUUUGGAGAUUCACUGAUUCACGAUUCAUUAAUUACCCUCUUGUUGACAUUCUAGACACCAAAUCCCAAUUAAAGACAUGCCAAAUGGAAGCAUUAAUAGAAAAAUAAUGCUAAAAACACAUUGAAAUAGACAUGAAGUAUCAUGGUUGAAGCUUCCAUAGAAACAAGUUCAACUUCAUUCUCCAUUAAACAUUCUCAUUAAAAGAAAACAGAUAAAAAUGACUAGUCAGUUAAACAUACUGUUCAGGAAGAGAUUUCUGACAUCACAUUUGUAUCUUCUAAAAAUCAAAUCAACCAAUGUGAAACUAUGAACAUGUAUCAGCUAAGCAUACUGUUUUUCCCCAUUUUAUGGCUACUGUUCAAAAAAAUAAAAAGGCAAUUCUAUGUGUGGUAGAUGCCCAGAAACACAACCCAUGAAGUAUGAAGGGAACAGAAACACAGUCCAAGUUCUAGCACAAGUCAAUAACUGUUGAGCAGAAAUCGCCACGUGUAACACAUUUUAAAAGCUUUUGUUAUCUUUUGUUCCUGAAAAUCAGGAGUAUUUGUAACCAUCACACUAGUAAAAAUAUAAUAAAGGGCCGAAAGGAUAGAUCACAUUUGAACUCCUACACUACGUAACAUCUAAAAUUACAGGCAGUGUAGCGUCAAUAGCAUCUAAGAAGAUUUCAAGGGGAAUAAUUGCAGUGUUCACAAAUUUUGCAACUAAUAUGAAACAUUUUAUUAUGGCAAUUAAAAAGGCAUGUGUAGCGCAUGAUUUUGCUUCAUUUCCCACAACAAUAAACUUCUAGAACUGCAAGAAUCCUAUUGAGCAUCCAUGCAUUUCCCUUUUUCUUGGUACAGGAUAAUAACUUCAUGAAUAAACAUUAUCUAAAGAUAUAUGAUUUUAACAUGGAGAUAUCACGUAACUUUCCUCAUCCCAAAAAUAAAAUCUAAAUCACAAAACCAAGAGGCCAAAUGGAGUUUGACCUGAGAAAUUGAAUCUGUUUAAUCUUGAAUGUAUCAUACACAGCCUUGGCCUCCCAAGCACAACAAAAUUAAACUCUAAGGGUCAUAGGCAUCAAUGAAAGAUAUACUGAUAGGGGCCCAAAAAAGGGCCAAAUAGCAUAUGUAGAGGACCACAGUAAACCCAAGUGGUUCACAUUAUUACACUCCAACUUGCAUGCCAGCCUUAUUACUACUGAGUUAUCCCCUGUAUAAAAAAUAAAAUUAAAAAGAAAAUGUACCAUAGGCAGAUAUAUCGGUGAAACCACGCAGACAAUGUCAUAUGCAUUCCAGGGAUAUUACAUUGCCAGUGAUUAAGGUUGCUUGAAAAGUAGGAAAGCUAUUAAUCACAUUUUCUACUCUUGAAAAACAGCAACUAAAAUGAACUUACUCAUUCUUGAAGGUCUUCAACAUAUCAGGGUGUAGUCCUUGACAGAGGACCACAUCCUUCCCAAAAUAGAACCGCAAGCCACAACUGCAAGAGGUGACUACUCUCAGCAAAACCAACUAUCCACCUCAAACUUCAUUACCACUACCAUUCUACACAGCCUUCCAUUUGUGAUCCAAAUUUACUAAUCCAUUUUGCCUAAAGAACAACACCCCCACCCCCCCCCCNNNNNNNNNNNNNNNNNNNNNNNNNNNNNNNNNNNNNNNNNNNNNNNNNNNNNNNNNNNNNNNNNNNNNNNNNNNNNNNNNNNNNNNNNNNNNNNNNNNNUACCGGGGGGUGUCCCUGAAAAGGGGCCCCCUCCCUCCCAAAAAUAAACCCCCACCCCACACCGCCAGGGGGUGCCUCCUCCCACAAAACCCACUUUCCCCCCCAAACUUUCUUCCCCAUUCCCUUUUAACCCACCCUCCCUUUGGGGUCCAAAUUUUAUAAUCCCUUUUCCCCAAAAAACCACCCCCCCCCCCCCCCCCCCCAAAAAAAAAAAAAAAAAAGUGCUACUCAUGGAGGAUAUAAGCUGAAUUUCCAAACUAACCCCCCCUCAUAAAAGCUCAUGAACAUUUUUUCCCCAUUUUAUUGAAUAGUAGAUGAACUCCUGCCUUCACCAACUAAUGGAAAGUGCUUUUAAACAGUUUCAGUCUGGUUGAGUAACCAAUACUAGCAACAUAGUGAGUGAAAGAAUUGGAUAGGCGUCAACCUUUCAGUAUAGAGACCAAAUUUUGAGAGAGAAUUGCUAAGUAUAUGAGUAACCUAAUUUGUAAGAAGUACACGGCAUGACUAGUAGCAUAUUGAAACAUGCUUAGACGUGAAAAAGCACUGGUAAGCCUAUCAGUGGCACCAUUGUGAGAUGCACCACGUGUACAAGAAUCUUCUCAUGCCUCCGAAAACUUCUUAAGGUUAUUCCCCACAUUUCAUUGACAUGAGCAGAAAUAAGUGAUGAUUCAAAAAACAAGCUUGUGUUAUUGAAAGAUUGCCAUCCACGCAAUUCAAUUCAAUUAAAAUGCAUCCCCGCAAAUUUUGUUUCAAAGAUUCCCACUUUCACAACACUGUCCUGAUUGUCAGCAAGCUUGAUACAAUCAGAAAGUGCAGAUAACAAUUAGUAUUU
rnacentral:lncRNA from 1 species